GAAAUCGGAUCGGGGGAAGAUCCAGGAAUUCUUCAUCACCGUCUUUAACCUUUGCAGGAUCUCCAUAAGUAUGUGCAAUUCCCUGUGACUUGAUUGAACUAAAUGGAGGCUGUUGGGCCUCGUUGGAGCUAUGAAAUAAAACACAAACCAGCUAGUAUACAAAAAACAUGAACACUAAGAUGAGUAAGGAUUCAAUUAGAACCAUUAUCUUAAUAUGAAUCACUCCACCGUAAUACACACUGCUGUGAUGGUACCUGUGUGCCGUCGUCACUCAGCUGUUUGGGUUAUGUGGCUCUGCAUAAUUCACACAGCUCCUGAAUGGUUGUUUCGAGUAAGAUGAAAACAUGUGUACAAGUUUGUGGGAAGGUAAGAAGCACCAUGUGAAAUUGGAGCUGUGAGUUCCCUGCACCUGAUAUUUGAGUUUGGUGAAAACAGAUGGAUAAUCAGAGUUUAUGUGAACAAUGGAGGCCUCUGUUCCCUGACGCUCAUGGAGAGAGAAGUGUAGAAAGACAGAAGGCCCUGGAGAGGAUCCCUCGAUAUUAAAGUAUGCACCUCAAUGACAAAAACUAAAAUCGACACACAUUUAUUUAUUUGACACACAUUGACUGUUUCUUGAUAUUUAGCAUUACUUCUCCUGGAAUAAAAAAGAAUUGACAUUAUUUAUUAACUGAACAUUUUAUGAAAGGACAGAAGGAGGAUACAGCAUGUUUCACUAAGAUUAGCUAUACUAACUUGACUGCCAUCAGAUGUGCAUUAAAUACUCAGGUGCUAAUCUGCAAAGUUCACAGUCUCCGCUGUGACUGAGCCGAAAAUAUCUUCAAGAAUACUAUAAAUAGAAAACAGCAUUACAAACAGUCGAGAGGCCCCAAUUUCUAUAAUUAUAUAUUUUCUUGUUGUGAAAACAAUGUGGGCAACCAUAGAGGAUGUUGUGUAAACAGAGGAUGAAUUACAACCUAGUUAAAUACAGAUGUAGCUAAAUAUAAGAAAUAAAUGAAACAUUACAUAUUAAAUAUUGAAAGUAAUCAAAUGAAAUAGGGUUACGUGAAUGUCAUUCUAUAAAAAUCUGUGUUAUAAGGUGACUAAACAGAUAAAAUCCAGUUCAAACCACAAGCCCAGUAAAAGCAUUUAUGAGAAUAACUUUUGACGAGCCAUUUAAAGGAGAAAAAGGAGGUUUGUUCUCCUCUGGGAGUUUGUUCCAUAGAGUUUUACAAAUCUUUUCGAGACCUGAGUGCUGUUGAAUACAUAUGCUCAGGUCCCCCCACUAUAAUCAGAGUUAAUUUAGUCUGGAUUGACCCAUUUUGAAUCAAAUUGAAGCCACAGCAAACAACAGGAAUACAAAGCCAUGGUCAUCACUUGUUUAAGCUGCAGUCGCAGUGAAAGGCUGUGAGACACCAAGUUGUUUUUUAUACGUCACCAAUCUGAGCAGAAGAAGGUUGCUGUGACAUUCUUCUCUUCUAUCAGUUUCUUUUUCCUGGCUUUCUCUCAACAUUUUGGCUCUGGAUCAGUUUUGCGGCUCCUCCAAACAGCUGCUGCUCACAUCAGAGGCUGAAAACCGCCGAUCUGCAGAGUUUCAUCAAGGUUACUUCUUAUUCAACACCUCUCACGAAACCUGACUCAAGAAAUGUGGGACUUUAAAUUCAUCCUGACAUCUUCUGAACGUUGAACGUUUUGAAGGAAAAGGGAGCAGUUACGCUGAAUCCAAGUCUUACAUGGAUGAGGUGGAAUUCAUCUGCUCAUAUAUGAUCUUUGUGAACGCAUCAUGAAGCACAGCCUCCAGAUGAACAACAGUAAAACCUUCUAAACAUCUCUGUUGUAUACAGCCAACAAUAAGGAUUUAUUGUGUGUUUAAUAACAGAUGACAGCUUCCUGUAGAUAAAAUUUGUAGAACAUUCCUGUGUGAAGUUGCGGCUUCAGUUGUUAUGUAACAGUCGGAGGUUGUGUGUUAUGACCUGCAUCGUCAGUUUAAUGGAAGCUGAUGUUGUAAAAUUCUCAGUGAAGGUAGCUGCUUUGCAUUGUUGUGUUAUUCUUUUCACAGAUGUUUGAUUGUCCCUCCAAUCUUAACUGCUUUUACACUAAGUGAAAGUUCUAACAGUAACAUUUUAUGAACUAAUAAUGUAUUAUCAAUAUAUAAGCACUGUUUGACAUUUAAACAGUUUUUAAAAUUGCUCUUAUUUUAUGUGUGUUGUUGAAAGGCCUUUGUAAUUUGUUUUAAAAGUGCUCUUUAAAUGUUUAGAAAAGUUUAGAAAACUACUACUGCUGCUACUACUACUACUACUACUACUAUGACUACAACUACUGCUACAACAACUACUGCUACUAAAACUACUGCUACUACUUCUGCUACAGAAGUCGCAGCAUGGAAACAGUAACAAAGUGACAGCAUAUCAUGCAAUUGUUUGAGGAGGACUCACUAAUAAUGUGGAAUAUCUCUAAAGUAGCUCAGGAGCAUUAACACGAGCCAAGCAAACAGGAAUGUUUAGAACAAGCAUUGCACCAAUAUCAAUAAUAUGUUCAGUACAUUUGUAAAAGCAGUGAAAGCUUCUCCUUUGCCAUCUUCUGCAGCCUCUCUGCUAAUAUAAGAGUAGGAUUUAAUGUUGACAAUGUUCCAAGUAUAUUUCCUCUCACUGCUGCACAGCCACAGAAAUGCUGCGGUGAGGCCCAGACUAAACAUGGAGAUCGUUUGUGAAUGCACGUAGACAAUGAGAGUGUUUAUAUUUGAUUUAUGAUGGAGAAGUAAGUAAAUUAUUAUGGAUUUUACACAGCUGAAGAACUGGUUCUUCAGAUGGAGCUUGAGGUCUUCAGUGUGUUUGUGUGUGUGUGUGUGUGUGUGUGUGUGUUUGUGUGUUUUUGUGUAUGUGAACUGCUGUGGCCUUGAGGUGGAAACAUACCUAAUGACUCACUUAGACAGGGCACCUGGAUUCUGGUGACACACGCACUGACAGUGACACACACACACACAAACACACACAGAGACACAAACAGACGGUGAGGUGCAUCUCCUCUGAAAAAAAUUUUGUCUGUACAAGUAGAGGCACAUGUUUCCUGUAUGACAUCGGGCUUCUGUGCAGCCUGAGGUGACGUCAUGAGCCCCCUCCCACACACACACACACACACACAUACUCCACACCUUUUCUACAGGUAUUUCACAGAUGUUUGGAUCAAAGCAAACCAAUCAGCUGUGAGUCUGCGUGUCUCAACGUCACUGUCGGUAAAUCGGAUGGAGGUGAAAUCACAAACAUGCACACACACCCACAUAAUAUGAUUUCUGAAGAUGCACAUUUGACUGUUUGCCAAUUCAAUGUUCUCUUUAAGAUCAGAAAAUCUGAAAAUGUGCAUCUGCAUGAAGAGCUCGGUGCCACAAAGAGUCAGUGGUUUAAAUUGAAUGAAUCUGUGAAAGGUCAAUCAGGUAUUUCCACCACCUAACACGUCUGCGGCUCAAUAGGUUUACGGUAGCGUAGCACAAAGACUCAGCUUGGGCUCAUAAGUCAGCGUGCCAAAGAAUUGUUGUUCAGCCUGGAGACUUAAACUGGCAGUUCAGGUUCAGAUAGCAGGAGUUGGAUCUGCGUGAAUAGACAGGAAUCUGACCGCUAACAUUCAAGGUAGUUAGAUGAGGAAGUGUGACGUGUUUGGCUGAAUGCCACAGGUCUAACCUUACUUUCUCUGAGUCGGAUAAAUUCACUGUGGCACACGUCAACUAGGUCAAUGCAAUCUGAUGUGGGACCUCUGGACCAUCAUGUUUGUGGAAUAUCCACUGUACAAAUUUAUUGAUUUUUAUUAAUUAAUUGUGUUUUUGCACAAUACAGUUUGACCCAUAUUCUGUGAAUGUUGCCACACAACUUCCUAAAAACAGGUGAGAGCUUGAAUGACUGACCUACUAAAUACUGGUGAUAAAAGAACAGACAGAUAGACAGGCAGGCAGAAAGAGGGUUAGGGAGAAGGAUCAAUGAGGAAAUUAGUUACAAAUUAAUCUGCUUUAUUUUAAUUUAUGGGGGUUUUCCCUGUCGUAAAACAUUUAGUAUCAACAUCAUUUUCCAGGAAGUCCACUGGUAAAAACAGACAUUCAAUCUAUAUUAAGAUUUGUAGGAAGGGUCACAUUUACUGACAUCCAGUUUUGAAAGCUUUCAGACUAAUGUUCCUCUCUCUUGAAAAACUGACUUGGUCAUUUCAGCAUUUUUGCCAGCAGCGAUUUCCAUUGGAUGUAGAUGAACUUGUGUGUGACUAUUAUGGGCUGAGUGAUGGAAACUAAAUACUGACUAAAACUAAAUUACUGUUUGCUGUGGGCAGAGAGGACGUACUGUCACUAUUUAAAUCUUGUCCACUACCAACAUGAGCAGAGGCUUUUAAAUGCUGUUCUAUUUCAAUGCAGUAAAGCAUAUGUAGUUCUUGUCAUUGUAUUAACGAUUAGUAAGAGUUUUUGACUCAUGUCCACUUGUCAACUUGACUUGUAAACUUUUGUGUCGUGAUAAGUGAUAUGGACAUAAAGUUUGUGGAGCUUUGAUUAUGGCCAAACAAUCAAAAAGUGGAAAGUGUCACAUGAUUUUUAAUAUAUUCGUCUUGACACACCCUGCAACCCGCUGGCCACUAGUCCAGGAUGUUCCACACCUCUCGCCCAAUGUCAGCUGGGUUUGGCUCCAACUCCAACCAACCACCCAAGGAUAUGAAAUGGAUGAAUGCCUAUAUUCACAUUACUAUUCAAAUAUAUCUUCCUGCUGUAUACAAGUCUAAAUGCUCUUUCAAAGCCUUUUCUAUUGGUAAAUAAUCCUGAUGGAGAAUAGCAAAUACAUUUUCUUCUAAGUUUGUCUAAACACACUUUCUACACAUUAUAUGUAUCAGAAUUUGUCCAAGAAACUUGGGUUAUAGGUGUCAUUGAACAAUGUAACCUCCUCUUCUCAUCAUCUAACCCUUCAAAUCCACACAUAUAUGUUAACACAGGAAUGAUCUCAACAUUCUGAGAACACAAGUCACGACAAUACUGGGAUUUCAACACAAGUAAAAGGAAUUUGGCUUUGUGAGCUCGUAUAAAAACAAUAAAAAACUAUUAUUACAUACCACAGCCUAAAGGGAACAUAAAACAAGCGGUGGAAAUAUAAGGCGGAUUAUCAACAAUAAAAGGUUUAUGGUUGAAAAAUGUUUAAAAGGCGGACACGGCCUCGAACUGCAUGAAACAGAGAGAGAGACGGUGAGGAGCAGGGAGACAAUGACAGAGCUCCUAUGAAAAGAGAGGCUGAGUUAACACAUAGGUGCAGGAAACGAGAUAGAGAAAGUCAGACCGGUACAGUGUGUGAUAGCUAUGACUUCACUCUGACAUGGUGGUGAUACACCAGCAGCUGUAGGCCUGGUUCAUGGUUCAUCAGUGCAGCACAGACCUUAUAAGGACAACGUCUUCCUGACUCAUUUAUUAUCUGACUGCCUGUUGACAGACGGGACGCUGCGAGCUGAGGCAUUCAGUGGCUUCGGUUCGAUGCCAAAAAGUUGCGUUCACUGUCCCCGCCCCACACUUCUUCCCUCUUCGUAAUGCAGUUUCUUCCUGUUCCCUCCCUCACUUUUAAUUCCUGACAAGCCCUUUUAAUCUUUCUUUCUGACUUCCUUCUCUUGUCUCAUGUCUUUUCUCUUUGUCUCUCUCUACCUUGUUUUCCUGUGCGACCGUGCAUUCACCCCCUGUUAAGUAAGGAGGUCAGUGUGGAUUCCACACACAAGCACACACACACUCGUACACAUCUGGCUGGAGCUGGAUUUCACCACUUUUCUGGGAGUGGUGAGAGGAAGGCGUGAGUGUGUGUGUAAAGUGGGAGUGACCGAAGCCGUCGGGGCGAGGGAGAGAGAGGAUGAGGAUGGGCCCGGCCUCCAGCUCCAGAGUCAGAGAGAGGAAAGCCCUCCCACAGGAAACCAGCUCUCCACUCCACAUGGCCUUUUAAGCGAUUCAUCUAAAACACUGCAGCCCCUGCACUGACCGCUAACAUCAUGAUACUGCUGCAAAGGAACUCCCACAAAAGUGCAGAACCAUGACGACACUGCCUAUCCUGCGCUCCAUGCAUGGGCUCGGUUUGUGACUUCUGGCCGCCGGCUGGUCCUGCCCUGCAGUGGCCUGGACAUCACUCCACCCAGCCCGGCCCGAAACCUCUUCCCCUUUUGUUUUCCCAGCGUGGGACCGAACUUCCCACCCAGGUCAGGCUGGAAGAGUGACUCCCUUCUUGCAAACAGCUUGUCCUCUUGGGUGCCCUGUUCUGUAAAUUAGACCAAUUAUACACUAAUUUUCAGUGUCAUGUUCAUUUGUUUAUUUAUGUGUUACAGCUAUCUCACCUUCCGGAGUCAAAUGUUCUGUUAUUCUAUAUACCCCUGAGAAACAAUAUAUAUGAAAAUAUCAGUCAAAUAUUUUAAGUGAGAUUUAUAUUUCUGUCAGUGAGUGUGUGUGUCUGUGUGCGUCUGUGUGUGUGUGUGUGGUUGGCCUAAAAGAGGUCUGUGUCCUUCUGCCUCGCCCACAUACUGUUGAACAUAUGGCUUCGUUUAGGGAGUAAUGGAUGGAGGCCAUUUGUCAUCAGCAGAAUAAACAAAUGAGGACACACACACACACACGUGCACACACACAUACAUUCUUUUAUGAGAGGCAUAUACAUUUUUACAGCCACUAUAUUUAUGGUAUUUCCUCAUAGCUCUACCUAAUUUUCCCAUUUCUAUUUGGGGGAAUAGAAACAAUCGAUAAAAGGAUCACAAUGUAUUAACAAUGUAUUAACGAGUCGCACCCAUUCUCCCUUAAAGAACGUUUAGCUGGUUUCGAUUUGUAGGGAUUUCCUGUCCUCUUAACUGAACUGCUGAGAAAGACGAGUCACUGCUGUUAUGUUAGUGAGCAUCGCCCUCUUCUGGGCGCAAAUAAUUUCAUAAUUAUCAAGAAAUGGCGCUAUAAGAAUGACCUGGUACUUUUUUUCUUUGCAUAAUUUUCCUGCAAGUAUAAUUCAAGUAUAACAUACAGGCAUUGUCCAAUCGAAGACUAAGAAGAUAUUUAGUUAAAAAAUAUCAAAAAGAGCGACACAUCCCAACAAGGUCUGACUGCAUUUUUAAACGUAUGAAACGUAUGCAUUUUACUUAAGUUUUCGCUGUGUCAGUUUGUGAUAAAUCAGUUUGUGAUGUU